GCGCAUGCGCCCCAGCUCUUGGAGGUGUUUUAGCUCACUUGGAAAGGCUAGAGACCCAAGUGAGCAGAUCCCGUAAACAGUCUGAAGAGCUGCAGAGCGUGCAGGCCCAGGAAGGUGCUCUUGGAACCAAGAUUCAUAAACUAAGGCGUCUGCGAGAUGAGCUGAGGGCUGUGGUGCGGCACCGGCGAGCCAGCGUGAAAGCAUGUAUUGCCAAUGUAGAACCCAACCAAACAGUGGAGAUCAAUGAGCAAGAAGCAUUGGAAGAGAAAUUGGAAAAUGUGAAAGCCAUUCUGCAGGCAUAUCAU
rnacentral:lncRNA from 1 species